UCUUAUCAAGCCCCCUUUCCUUCAAUCCUUCCACCAUAUUGAUCUCUCUAGCAAUUCUCUAACUUCUAGCUAGCCUCAUUAUGCUGUUAAGAAUGAGUUUUUUCAACGCUUUGAUGCUAUUAAGCAUGUUUCUUUUUGUUGCGGCACCCGUUCACGGCUUAGAUUCAAGGAAGCUUGAUGAGACCACCGUGCCUGCACCAACUGAAGAGAAGUGCACGCCAUGUAAUCCAAGUCCUCCACCACCAUCGCCUCCUCCACCAUCGCCUCCUCCACCAGUAUUGUGUCCACCACCACCUACUCCACCAGAGUUGCCACCACCGACUCCAAAGAAGCCACCAUCAGGUUACUGCCCUCCACCCCCACCCGCACCAUCCUUUAUUUACGUAACUGGUCCACCAGGGAACUUGUACCCUAUUGACAACUAUUUCUCGGGUGCUGGCCGGCCAACCGUGGGUUUGCAAGUUUUGAUUGGAUGUGGAAUAUUGUUAGGAUCACUGUUUGUACUGAAUUUAUAGAAGUUAAUCGAGAUGGCGUGAUCAAAGAGUCCAAGGACAACAAGAUAAAGAAUUUUCGUGUCCAAAAGGAUAUAACUUCAUAGCUAAGAUCUACUUCGUUCUUGCUUUAUUAUCUCUAAAUUGUUCAGUAUCUUGAAUAACAGUCUUCUCUUCCCUUUUCGUAAUUUCGUUUCAGCAACAGUUUUUUUUUUUUUUUAAUUCCGUCCUGUUUUCUUUUAGUUAUGUUGAUGUUGCUAAUCUGGUCAUGAUUUAUGGUCUGAUAAAUGAAAGAAAAAGUAUACGAUCAAUUUUGGGUUCUGGUUCUAUAAAUUAAAUGUAAACUUUUACAAGAAUAAUUAGCUGGUGCUAUAUAUUGUAUUAUUUAUCUUUGAUUAUUGUGGAUGGUAUAAUGGAUGAACCACCAGCAUGCAUCUCCACUGGUUUGUUUUACUUAAAAACUUGCCUUCAAUUAGGCCCACCAUUAGUCGGUGAUGUCUUUAGCAAUCUCCUCAAUAAUUUGUACACAUGAUUCCAGUUUUGAAAUGUAGGGUUCGUUCUUCAUGGAUAACUUGAUUAAUUAGUUUGUGGAAAAAGUCGGGUUGACCAGAUAGUUAAAGUUUAUUUGGUAUUAUAUUUUUUUUAAAGUGAUUUUAUUUAAAAAUAUAUUAAGAUAAUAUUUUUUAAAAUACAUCAAUAUAUUAAAACAAUCUAAAAAUAAUUUUUUUUUUUUAAAAUAAUUUUAAAAAUAAAAAAUAAACUUGUCUUUGUCAAUAGGCAGUCCUUUAUUCUGAAAAUAAACUUGUUCAAGUCAUUAAUGCAUUCAUUGGACAAAUGGUCGUCAGAUGGGGACAGUGGCAUUAGGCAAGAGAUCCAAAAAUCAAAGAACAAAUUGAAAAGUAGCCCAUCACACGAGAAUAACUUGUAACAUUCGAAAAGUUAUAAGCCUUUUUAAAUACUUUUAACCAAAGUCAUUUCAAAGAAAACUCACACAAUCAUUAAGAUUUGUGUAAAACAAAUGAUUCCACUUCGAGAAAAAAGAAUACCCAAGACAAAAUAAUUUGUGUUAACUUGGGCCGCCCCCUCCUCUCUCUUAGAAAUCCCCUUCUAAGUCCAUCUUUGGUUAUCAAGAUGCAGAGCUUUUAAAAGCCAUAGUUGACCAACCGUCUUUGUAAGAUCUAUAUGUAGCGGUAAAAUAUAGUUAAAAUUAUGAUUUGUCUCGAUCAUGGUUUUAAAAAUAUAUAAUUGAUCAAUAUAAAUAUAUUAUAAUUUUACAUUAAUUUCAAUAAAAAUUCUCUUUUAAAAUUUAAAUUACAAAAAAAAAACUACAAUCUGUAUUUUUUAAAAUCUAUAUUUUUAAAUUAUAAUCACAAGAACUACAUCCAUAUAGAAUAAUUGCACUAACUCCAUAGCUUGGAUGCACUAAAUCCAGAGCUUGGAUAACUGGGCAUGGCGCCAUCUGUCCCCUGCAAAGCCUUCUUGCCCCAAAUGCCACGAAUCCUGGUUGCUAGAAAAUGCUUCGAAAUCAAAGAGGAGAUGACAGCCAUAUGAUUUGGUGUCAGUGGAUAAAAUCAGUUCUGAUCACAAAUGUGUCAGAUGUCGUCAGGUACAGUUUCUGAGAUCUACUUCGGUUUCACCAAAUUGUAGGGCCCAUCGGUCUGGUGGGUCAUCGGUGAAGUCUGGCAGCUUGUAGUUAGCCUAAUCUAUCUAUCUCUCUCUCUCUCUCUUCCCUUUUUACCUUUUCUUUUGGUUUUCGUUUCUAUCAUUACUAUGCGAACUAACUAUGUGAACCAAGGUGGUUAAAGUGGUUGUGCAUUCCUCUAGUUUGCAGAGAAACCAUCACAGAUUGAUCAAAUUAACUGGGGAAUGUUUGGGAGUACAGAGCACGUAUGGUAUUAUAUUUGAAAUUAUUUUUUAAAAUGUUUUUUUUGUUUAAAAACAUAUUCACUUUAAAAUAUAUUAAAAUAAUAUUUUUAUUUUUUAAAAAUUAAUUUUAACAUUAACGCAUUAGAACAUGAAAACAUUAAAAAAAUAAUUUUAAAUAAAAAAUUUAUUUUCAUGAAACACAAUUCUAAACAUUGUCUACAUUUGCUAAGGUAACUAGCCUCCCCAUGUAAAUUAGACUCUUCUUUUAUUGAUUUUAAUCCUCUAAUAGUAAAUCAAUGGUUUAGGUUACUCCAUUUAGUAAAGAAGUCACAUAAUUUUAAAAACAUUCGAAUUACCUACUACUUGCAGUAAUGAAAUUUUAACAGUUAAAAUUCAAACUAAUUCAUGAUAGAACUUAAAAAUGGAUUAAAGUUAUUUUUUUUAUUUAAAAAUGGAUCUUUAUAUAUAUAAAAAAUAUCAACGUACUGUUUGGGAGAGUAAAAGGUCAGAGGAAGGAAUGAGAACAAGGAUAGAAAGUCUUUCCUCUGUUUGGGAGAAGGAAGGAAGGAAGGAAAAAUUUGCCGUGUGCCCACCAGAGAGUGAAGGGAAAAUGUGUGCAAUUACCUAUUGUAACCCUUACAAAAAAUUUCCCUUGCCACCAUGAAGGAUACAAAUGUAAUUGCAUCAAUUUUCACUACCAAUUCUUUCCUUCCAGACUCCCCUCCAUCCAAGCAUCGAAGAGAAAGCUGUUUUCUCUCUUUAAAUUUUUCUUUCCCCUCACUUUCAAUCCUCCCACGUUCUUUCCCCUGUUAAUUGGCUUCCAAACACAUUGUAAGAGUUUUAUCAAAAUUAUUUUUGAACUUUAAGAGAGAAUUUUAAAUUUCAGAGGAGCCGUGACUCUCGUUUGCGUCUCAUGGUUUCGUAGUCAAUUUUACAGAUAUAAUCUAUCAUGUUUAAUAUAGUUUUUUUUUUUUUUGACAAUCAACGAGAUUAAAUAAAAAACAAGAACAGGUCACAAAAAAAGUAAAGACAGGGCCGUCCAGAAGCCUGGACAUGGAACAUCUAGCAAUUGAUGGCUUUACAGGUAGGUGGAAAAAUCGUUGUGCACACAGACUGGAAAAUGUCAAGAAGAAAAGUAGCGUUCAUCUUUUUCAUGUAUACGAUGAUCAAUUGUUUUUGGUCGAAAAUAAUAGAGCACAACAGCCUGUGCUGCUGCACAAAAAGAAAAAGGAAUGCUAAUAAAGGGGAACUGAUCGAUCUGAAUAAUAUUGUCUAUGUGUUUUAUUUUUAAUUUCUCACACCCACAUGUAGAGAGAAUCCACAGCUCCUAAAAAGAACUGUUCUUUCUUAUUAAUUGCCAUGGAUGAAAUCAAGCCCGUGACUGGCAAAUAUCACCAAAUUCCCGGACAACCUUUCGAGACUAGUAGCUAUAUCACAGUUCCAUGCACCGAAGACCCUGAUAAAGAGCUCUUAUGAAGUCCCCUUUCCUUCAAUCCUCCACCAUAUUGAUCUCUCUAGCUAAUCUCUAACUUCUAGCUAGCCUCAUUAUGCUGUCAAGAAUGAGUUUUUUCAACUCUUUGAUGCUAUUAAGCAUGUUUCUUUUUGUUGCGGCACCCGUUCACGGCUUAGAUUCAAGGAAGCUUGAUGAGACCACCGUGCCUGGACCAACUGAAGAGAACUGCACGCCAUGCAAUCAAAGUCCUCCCCAACCAUCGCCUCCUCCACCAGUAUUGUGUCCACCACCUCCUCCACCAGAGUUGCCACCACCGACUCCAAAGAAGCC
rnacentral:lncRNA from 1 species